GAUUGCGGCCAUACCACACUGACAAAGCCAGAUCUCGUCUGAUCUCAGAAGCUAAGUAGAGUUGGGCUGGGUCAGUACUUGGAUGGGUGACCGCCUGGGAAUUCCCGGUGCUGUAAGCA
ensembl:rRNA 5S_rRNA 5S ribosomal RNA